rnacentral:rRNA from 1 species
AUUGAACGCUGGCGGCAUGCCUUACACAUGCAAGUCGAACGGCAGCGCGGGAGCAAUCCUGGCGGCGAGUGGCGAACGGGUGAGUAAUAUAUCGGAACGUGCCCAGUAGUGGGGGAUAGCCCGGCGAAAGCCGGAUUAAUACCGCAUACGACCUACGGGUGAAAGGGGGGGAUCGCAAGACCCACCGCUAUUGGAGCGGCCGAUAUCAGAGUAGGUAGUUGGUGGGGUAAAGGCCUACCAAGCCUGCGAUCUGUAGUUGGUCUGAGAGGACGACCCGCCACACUGGGACUGAGACACGGCCCAGACUCCUACGGGAGGCAGCAGUGGGGAAUUUUGGACAAUGGGCGCAAGCCUGAUCCAGCAAUGCCGCGUGCAGGAAGAAGGCCUUCGGGCUGUAAACUGCUUUUGUCAGGGAAGAAAUCCUCUAGGCUAAUACCUUGGGGGGAUGACGGUACCUGAAGAAUAAGCACCGGCUAACUACGUGCCAGCAGCCGCCGUAACAC